rnacentral:rRNA from 1 species
GGUGGGGUCAAAAAUACCAUAAAGACAACAGAUCCCAUCUGAUUUUAGAAAUUAAGCAAAGUCAGCUCUGGUUAGUACUUGGAUGGAGACAGUCAAUGAAUACCAGAUGUUGUAGUCU